UGCAGUCGAGCGGACCUUUUAAAAGCUUGCUUUUGAAAGGUCAGCGGCGGACGGGUGAGUAACACGUGGGCAACCUGCCUGUAAGACUGGGAUAACUUCGGGAAACCGGAGCUAAUACCGGAUAAUAUAAGGAACCUCCUGGUUCUUUAUUGAAAGAUGGUUUCGGCUAUCACUUACAGAUGGGCCCGCGGCGCAUUAGCUAGUUGGUGAGGUAACGGCUCACCAAGGCGACGAUGCGUAGCCGACCUGAGAGGGUGAUCGGCCACACUGGGACUGAGACACGGCCCAGACUCCUACGGGAGGCAGCAGUAGGGAAUCUUCCACAAUGGACGAAAGUCUGAUGGAGCAACGCCGCGUGAGCGAUGAAGGCCUUCGGGUCGUAAAGCUCUGUUGUUAGGGAAGAACAAGUGCGAGAGUAACUGCUCGCACCUUGACGGUACCUAACCAGAAAGCCACGGCUAACUACGUGCCAGCAGCCGCGGUAAUACGUAGGUGGCAAGCGUUGUCCGGAAUUAUUGGGCGUAAAGCGCGCGCAGGUGGUCCUUUAAGUCUGAUGUGAAAGCCCACGGCUCAACCGUGGAGGGUCAUUGGAAACUGGGGGACUUGAGUGCAGAAGAGGAAAGUGGAAUUCCAAGUGUAGCGGUGAAAUGCGUAGAGAUUUGGAGGAACACCAGUGGCGAAGGCGACUUUCUGGUCUGUAACUGACACUGAGGCGCG
rnacentral:rRNA from 1 species